AGGAAGAGCGGAAUGUCUCGGCUGCGCCUGCGCAGGAUCUGUCUUCUGUCUUCACCCUCUUCCUCUUCUCAGCGCCCCCGCUCCUUGCGUGGCUGUUCCUUCGCUAGUUCGGUUGUGGUAGCUGCCCCGCACCGUCUGAGAAGAGUCUCUCACCAUGACUCACCACCAUCCUCCCCUGAACAAUGGCCUGUGGGCUCCAUCACUCACUCUUGCUGACACACCGGACUGGAAAGAGCUGAUUCUAACCUCUGAUCACAUGAAAGUAACUCUGGGAAGGAUCUAGAGAGGCCAGGAGGAGAGACACCUUGGGGGACUAAUGAGAGGCUUCCAAGAAGAGGGAAGAGUCAGACUCUGGCCUCUGAUCAUCUCAUACCUAUGGUUCUCAACAUGGCUGCCCCUAGAAUCAGAAAAAUUUGUCAACAUCAGGAUUGCUUACCCCUUAACUACUGACUCAGAAUCUUGCAGAGGAUGGGACGGGCACCUGGACUUUUCGAAAGCUCUCCAUGAAACUCUGAAGCAGCUGGUGCUGGAGGUCCAAGAUCUGAGCCAACCCAGAUCUGCUCCACUGCCUGUAUAGGAGAUGCCCAUUCGAGGGCAGUCCCCACUUCAAAAGGAAAGAAAAGGCCUUCUGAAGCCAGAAUCUCUCAAAACAAUGGGGUCCAGACCUUAGCCAGGUCCUCUGAGGGCAGCGGAUCUCCUGUUUCUAGCUCCUCCAAGCUCGCACGCAUGUGUCACCCUGCACUGCCAGCACCCCCCUCCUCCCCAAGAGGCAUCAUUCCCAGAGCUACAAGUCUAUGGAGAUCCUGACUGGCAAUACCUCUGUCAUCUAGCGGCUGACAGACACAAUACCAGAAACAGUGCACUUAUUAUCACUGGAGAAAAAAAAAAAAAAUGAAUGGGAUUUCGAAUAACCACGGAAUGGCUCACACAGUGCUCAGGAAUUCAUUAUCAACGUUGGCUCUGCUCCUCUCAGAUGUGCCUUUGGCACUCUUGGUUCUGAAACUUGCACUCCUAGAUGGAGGCUGGGGCUGCAGAGAGCAGGCACCCGAGAUGACGUGGGGAAGGGAAGGGUUCAGAAGUGGGCUGGGUGGCGGUUGCCUAGGGGAAAAACACGAUAUCCACUGGAAUUGUUCAGUUACAAUGGCAGAGUCUGUGUGGUUUCAGAAAAAAAAAGAUAUUUCUGAGCAUUGAUGAAAGCGCCCAGAGUUAUAGCUAAGGAAUCUUUCUCCAGCUCCCGGUUCUGCUUUCCUCUUCGGGGGCUUCGAUCUUGGCCAGGCCCACCCAAUAUGGCGGCAGAGACAGUCCCUGUGGCUCCAGGUGGAUGGGCUGCCAGCAUAGCCUCUCCAGGAAAGCACUCCUCUUUGUCCUAGAACAUCCAGCAUAAGACUGAGGGUGGGAUCUCAUUGGCAGCUGUGUCUUCUAGACAUUUCAGAGCAAAGCACAGUGGCCGGGCCUGGAGCUGAAAGGAAAGUUCAGCUCCACUCAAACCACAUGAAUUGGCAGGAUGACAAUGGCUUCUUAAGGGAAAUUUAAGGUGCUGUCAUAAAAAGUCGGGGGAGAAGAUGCUGGGAAGGCAUGCAGGAACUCUUCCCAGACACCGUAGCAGGAAUGAAAAGUGCUUGCUCUGCCUUCUCUCACAUGCUGUGCUCAUCUCUACUAUAGAUUUUUCUAGAUGGCCAUUUCUUUACUCUUCUGCACUGGUUAUGUGCUUUGGGGGAGCAGCUGUGACGCCUAUCAUCCUCACCCUAGUAGUUCGACACCUACUAUGGAGUAGAUGCUUAAUAAAUCCUAGUGGAAUGAUGUAAAAUAGCAGAGAACUGAGAUUUAAAAAUCCUGGGUCUUUGUCUUGAUUCUGCCCCUAACUUGAAUGUAGACUUUGAGCAGUGACUUCUCUUCCUUGGGCCUCUUUCGGACAUACUAGUUGAGGGUUUGGCAAACUUUCUUUGCAGAGGGCCAGAUAGUCAAUAUUUUGUGCUUAGUGCGCCAUGGGGUUCCCAACAACUCAGCUCUUCCAAUGACGCACAACUGCAGGAAAAGGCAAUAUGUAAACAAGCGGGCAUUGCUGUGUUCCAAUAACAUUUUAUUAACAAAAAGGCAAUGGCCCAAAUUUAGCUCUCUGGCCCUAGCUUGCCACCUGUCUGGUAGAUCCUUUUUUCUUUCCUUGGUCUAUUGCUGUGUGAUAGUCCGCUCAAAAGUUCAGCAGCUUAAACAAACAGCAAUCAUUUAUUUUGCCCGCGCAUCCGCAAUCUAGGAGACUCGUAAGGUACACCUCAUCUCUGCUCCAGGCAUUUUCAGCUGAAGAAGCUCCAUGGAGGCUGAAGGACCCACUUCCAAGAUGGUUGACUCCCAUGGUUGGCAAGUUGGCGCUGGCUGUCGGCUGGGAACUCGUGUGGGGCUGUUGACCAGGGACUUCAUACUGCUCCGUGUGUGCUUCUCCAUGGGGCUGCUGGGGCCCCAAAAGUUGUUCUCAUCCAACAGAUGAGAAGAAGAAGCUGUCAGAGUCGUAAGGCCUGAGUUCAGAAGCUGGCACGGUGGUGUGGUGGACUAUUGGCCCAGUAGCCACAGAGCCCGGCCAGAUUCAAGUGGAGGACACACAGUUGCCACCUGUCAAUGGGAAGAAUGUCAAAGAAUUUGUAGCCACAUACAAUCUACCACGCUGAAUGCUAAGGGCUCUGCUAGUUAAGAUGUCCCAUGGUUUGAAGGCUCAGUCUGACCUUGGAUUCCAGGAACAACUGUCCAGAUCCCUAAACUGAUUCUCUAAGAG